rnacentral:rRNA from 1 species
CCCCAGCCCGCUCUGGAUACUGGCUGACUAGAGUUACAUAGAGGUAAGUGGAAUUCUUAGUGGAGCGGUGGAAUGCGUAGAUAUUAGGAAGAACACCAAUGGCGAAGGCAGCUUACUGGAUGUACACUGACGCUCAGGGACGAAAGCGUGGGGAGCAAACAGGAUUAGAUACCCUGGUAGUCCACGCCGUAAACGAUGAUCAUUAGCCGCUAGAAUAUUUAGUGGCGCAGCUAACGCAUUAAAUGAUCCGCCUGAGUAGUAUGCUCGCAAGAGUGAAACUUAAAGGAAUUGACGGGGACCCGCACAAGCGGUGGAGCAUGUGGUUUAAUUUGAAGAUACGCGUAGAACCUUACCCACUCUUGACAUCUUCCGCAAUACUAUGGAGACAUAGUGGAGGUUAACGGAAUGACAGAUGGUGCAUGGUUGUCGUCAGCUCGUGCCGUGAGGUGUUAGGUUAAGUCCUGCAACGAGCGCAACCCCUGUCUUUAGUUACUAACGGAUAAUGCCGAGGACUCUAGAGAGACUGACUGGGUAACCAGUAGGAAGGUGGGGACGACGUCAAAUCAUCAUGCCUCUUACGAGUGGGGCAACACACGUGCUACAAUGGACGGUACAAAGAGAAGCAAUAUGGUGACAUGGAGCAAACCUCAAAAAACCGUUCUCAGUUCGGAUUGAAGUCUGAAACUCGACUUCAUGAAGUUGGAAUCGCUAGUAAUCGUAGAUCAGCUACGCUACGGUGAAUACGUUCUCGGGUCUUGUACACACCGCCCGUC